rnacentral:rRNA from 1 species
GACGAACGCUGGCGGCGUGCCUAAUACAUGCAAGUCGAACGCACUCUCGUUUAGAUUCGAAGGAGCUUGCUCCUGAUUGAUAAACAUUUGAGUGAGUGGCGGACGGGUGAGUAACACGUGGGUAACCUGCCCUAAAGUGGGGGAUAACAUUUGGAAACAGAUGCUAAUACCGCAUAAAACCUAACACCGCAUGGUGUAGGGUUGAAAGAUGGUUUCGGCUAUCACUUUAGGAUGGACCCGCGGUGCAUUAGUUAGUUGGUGAGGUAAAGGCUCACCAAGACCGUGAUGCAUAGCCGACCUGAGAGGGUAAUCGGCCACACUGGGACUGAGACACGGCCCAGACUCCUACGGGAGGCAGCAGUAGGGAAUCUUCCACAAUGGACGAAAGUCUGAUGGAGCAACGCCGCGUGAGUGAAGAAGGUUUUCGGAUCGUAAAACUCUGUUGUUGGAGAAGAAUGUAUCUGAUAGUAACUGAUCAGGUAGUGACGGUAUCCAACCAGAAAGCCACGG